GGGUGACUGCGUACCUUUUGUAUAAUGGGUCAGCGACUUAUAUUCUGUAGCAAGGUUAACCGAAUAGGGGAGCCGCAGGGAAACCGAGUCUUAACUGGGCGUUAAGUUGCAGGGUAUAGACCCGAAACCCGGUGAUCUAGCCAUGGGCAGGUUGAAGGUUGGGUAACACUAACUGGAGGACCGAACCGACUAAUGUUGAAAAAUUAGCGGAUGACUUGUGGCUGGGGGUGAAAGGCCAAUCAAACCGGGAGAUAGCUGGUUCUCCCCGAAAGCUAUUUAGGUAGCGCCUCGUGAACUCAUCUUCGGGGGUAGAGCACUGUUUCGGCUAGGGGGUCAUCCCGACUUACCAACCCGAUGCAAACUACGAAUACCGAAGAAUGUUAUCACGGGAGACACACGGCGGGUGCUAACGUCCGUCGUGAAGAGGGAAACAACCCAGACCGCCAGCUAAGGUCCCAAAGUCAUGGUUAAGUGGGAAACGAUGUGGGAAGGCCCAGACAGCCAGGAUGUUGGCUUAGAAGCAGCCAUCAUUUAAAGAAAGCGUAAUAGCUCACUGGUCGAGUCGGCCUGCGCGGAAGAUGUAACGGGGCUAAACCAUGCACCGAAGCUGCGGCAGCGACGCUUAUGCGUUGUUGGGUAGGGGAGCGUUCUGUAAGCCGUUGAAGGUGGCCUGUGAGGGUUGCUGGAGGUAUCAGAAGUGCGAAUGCUGACAUAAGUAACGAUAAUGCGGGUGAAAAACCCGCACGCCGGAAGACCAAGGGUUCCUGUCCAACGUUAAUCGGGGCAGGGUGAGUCGACCCCUAAGGCGAGGCCGAAAGGCGUAGUCGAUGGGAAACAGGUUAAUAUUCCUGUACUUGGUGUUACUGCGAAGGGGGGACGGAGAAGGCUAUGUUGGCCGGGCGACGGUUGUCCCGGUUUAAGCAUGUAGGCGGAUGUUCCAGGUAAAUCCGGAACGUCACUAACGCUGAGGUGUGAUGACGAGGCACUACGGUGCUGAAGUGACAAAUGCCCUGCUUCCAGGAAAAGCCUCUAAGCAUCAGGUAACAUCAAAUCGUACCCCAAACCGACACAGGUGGUCAGGUAGAGAAUACCAAGGCGCUUGAGAGAACUCGGGUGAAGGAACUAGGCAAAAUGGUGCCGUAACUUCGGGAGAAGGCACGCUGAUGGUAAGUGAAGUGACUUGCUCAUGGAGCUGAAAUCAGUCGAAGAUACCAGCUGGCUGCAACUGUUUAUUAAAAACACAGCACUGUGCAAACACGAAAGUGGACGUAUACGGUGUGACGCCUGCCCGGUGCCGGAAGGUUAAUUGAUGGGGUUAUCCUCGCGGAGAAGCUCUUGAUCGAAGCCCCGGUAAACGGCGGCCGUAACUAUAACGGUCCUAAGGUAGCGAAAUUCCUUGUCGGGUAAGUUCCGACCUGCACGAAUGGCGUAAUGAUGGCCAGGCUGUCUCCACCCGAGACUCAGUGAAAUUGAACUCGCUGUGAAGAUGCAGUGUACCCGCGGCAAGACGGAAAGACCCCGUGAACCUUUACUAUAGCUUGACACUGAACACUGGUCCUUGAUGUGUAGGAUAGGUGGGAGGCUUUGAAGUGUGGACGCCAGUCUGCAUGGAGCCGUCCUUGAAAUACCACCCUUUAAUGGCUGGUGUUCUAACGUGGGCCCGUGAUCCGGGUUGCGGACAGUGUCUGGUGGGUAGUUUGACUGGGGCGGUCUCCUCCUAAAGAGUAACGGAGGAGCACGAAGGUCAGCUAAUCCUGGUCGGACAUCAGGAGGUUAGUGCAAUGGCAUAAGCUGGCUUGACUGCGAGCGUGACGGCGCGAGCAGGUGCGAAAGCAGGUCAUAGUGAUCCGGUGGUUCUGAAUGGAAGGGCCAUCGCUCAACGGAUAAAAGGUACUCCGGGGAUAACAGGCUGAUACCGCCCAAGAGUUCAUAUCGACGGCGGUGUUUGGCACCUCGAUGUCGGCUCAUCACAUCCUGGGGCUGAAGUAGGUCCCAAGGGUAUGGCUGUUCGCCAUUUAAAGUGGUACGCGAGCUGGGUUUAGAACGUCGUGAGACAGUUCGGUCCCUAUCUGCCGUGGGCGCUGGAGAAUUGAGGGGGGCUGCUCCUAGUACGAGAGGACCGGAGUGGACGCAUCACUGGUGUUCGGGUUGUCAUGCCAAUGGCAUUGCCCGGUAGCUAAAUGCGGAAGAGAUAAGUGCUGAAAGCAUCUAAGCACGAAACUUGCCCCGAGAUGAGUUCUCCCUGACUCCUUGAGAGUCCUGAAGGAACGUUGAAGACGACGACGUUGAUAGGCCGGGUGUGUAAGCGCAGCGAUGCGUUGAGCUAACCGGUACUAAUGAACCGUGAGGCUUAACCUUACAACGCCGAAG
rnacentral:rRNA from 1 species